AUUCUAUGGAAAUUUAUCCCUUUCCGAACCCAUUGUAUAAAAAAAUUUAAUCAACGUGUGGUUGCUGGUGAUCUCAAAAGAUCAUUGGAUGAUUUUAAGGGUCAUGACCUUUUUAGCUAACUGGAUGAAUCAAAAUUUGAUAACAGGUGUUAAUGAAAUUGACAACUUCGUGCAAUGUGAAAGGCACUCGAAGGGGAUUUUCGGUUA
rnacentral:lncRNA from 1 species